AGCGAACGCUGGCGGAAUGCUUAACACAUGCAAGUCGCACGGGCAGCAAUGUCAGUGGCGGACGGGUGAGUAACGCGUAGGAAUGUGUCCUGAGAUGGGGGACAACGCCGGGAAACUGGCGCUAAUACCGCAUAUGGCCUGAGGGUCAAAGCCGCAAGGCGUCUUAGGAGCAGCCUGCGUCCGAUUAGCUUGUUGGUGGG
rnacentral:rRNA from 1 species